GCAAACACCAACUGAACUUUGACGAUUCAGAGGAAAAACGAACAUGUCGGAGUGAAUAGGCGGACUAGAGACUUUCAACUCGGAAGAUGACCCCGUAAUGCCGCCUAUGACCCAUGAAACGAUCUACAACUAAGGAUGGGUCGAAUGUAUCGACGAGGGGAUUCACGCCAUGAUCGUCGUAGUGACAUCCCAAUGGAACAGCAGGAGAUAGCGGCCAACAUGAUCCACAAGGACAUCGAAGCAUACGCCAAUGAAUACAUCUGAUCGGAAUGAACUCCCUUUGGACUGGGAAAACAACCAAAGCCAGUUGAUCCCGUCCGGAACGUCUUCGCCAAUCGAGGACAGAGGCAGUACCAUCUAUAUAACCGAGAGCACUACCAGUGUGCUUGCCAGCAGGAUACUGCCGUAGACCAAGCCGUAGCCGAUCUGGUAUUGGAGUUCGAUUCCAACUAGCUUGACUGUGAAUCUUCACCAUGGAACCAGUUAUUUUUUAUGGAUACCUUCCGAUGGCAACAUUGCGUGUUCAAAUAAGCGAUGCAACUGCAUGUAAAAAAGUGAUAAAUAGUGAGUUUAGUGAAAUAAAUUAAAACAACUAAA